GCCUUCUGGAGGGACCUUGGUCUCCUUCCUGUGCCACCUCUUGUCUGAGCUGAGGCCUCCUCCCACAUGGAGAAAGGAGCUCUAAAAAUCAAUGGUCAACCUUCUUCUUCAAGCCUUGUCGAUCCUUGCUAAGAGAGGGUGUGAGACAUUCCCUCCUACAAGUCAUGACUUAGGUGAACCACAGGAUCAUCUUUUCAUGAUGGCUUUAAAAAAGGAAGGCUUUACCUUCCUUUGCUUCAGCCUUUCAGUGAUCCUUUGAGAUCCCAUCUGUGUUUGUGACCAUUCCUGAGCCCAAAGCUGGAAUUUCUAAAGCGCUACCAGCAGCAACCCCAAGCAAAAUCAUGGAUGUCUGACGGCAGAAGGAAGCACUGUGUGCUCACAGAGUGGAGAACUGCAUGUGCAGAUUCAUUAUUGUAUCUCUAUUGUGAAAUCCCCUGCAAAUAGAAUAGAUAACAUCACCUUGUCAAAACUGCUGGUCUGC